rnacentral:rRNA from 1 species
UACAGAGGGUGCGAGCGUUGUUCGGAAUUAUUGGGCGUAAAGGGCGCGUAGGCGGCGCGGUAAGUCACCUGUGAAAUCUCCUGGCUCAACUGGGAGCUUGCAGGCGAAACUGCCGUGCUGGAGUGUGGGAGAGGUGCGUGGAAUUCCUGGUGUAGCGGUGAAAUGCGUAGAUAUUGGGAGGAACACCAGUGGCGAAGGCGGCUCACUGGACCGGUUCUGACGCUGAAGCGCGAAAGCGUGGGGAGCAAACGGG